CAGCGUCGGCAAUUUUGAGUUGGUUGAAAAGCGGUUAUAUAACGACGUUAACUCUACGUAUAUUGGAGAAAAAGAGAGAGACUGGCGCCGGAAGUAUUUUCAGAAAUAUUCCUAGUAAAUAUCAGAUUGACCGACGAAAUCUUAAUGUAAUAAAACAACUUUCAAAGCUAUUGAUUGAGUGCUAAGUUGCUUUCAUCCGACAAGCCUCUUGGAAAAUCUUUUCUAUGGACUUCAUUGGAAAGCAUUUUGGUCUUUACAUCGUGCACCACAGGCAAAUUGGGAUGGUUUUUCCUGAAAAUUUAACCGGUGGGAUUAUAAAGAUGUUCCUGAAUCAGUAGAGAUUUUGCUAUGAACUGACUGAAGCUUUAUCGACAAAUAAAUGCAUCAAAUUGCCACUUCAAGAAAUUACCCAGAAAGAUUUUACGUAGUCACUAGAGAUUCAAUGAAUAGCAAUCAAAUAUCCCUCAAAAUUUAUGUUACCACUUUGAAAAGAGAAUACAGUUGUAAUGAAGUUCUAUGUAUUCAAUAUUCGAGAGAAGGGUGGGAGAGAAGAGCUGAAAUAUGUAUGGCUGCAAGUGUGCGCAAUCAGAAACGACCUGGAGCUAAACAACAUGUACGACACCAAGUGCAGUCAUUUUCCAGUCAUGCCAGGAUAACAUAAUCUAUUUUAUUUUACAUAUCAUUGUGACUUUUUCAAACAAUUAAAUUGGAACAUCUAAUCACUUACUAGUACAUCUGAACAUCUCAGUCAUACCGUGCAUGUAGCCAUCGUCUGCCAGGAAAAUUUCAGUGAACAUAUAAACUACGCAUAUGACACAUAUUGUACAACAUGGACUGAAGUCACAGAAGGGCUAGAUCCAACGCACCAAAAAGAGUCCCACCAUUUCCUUCGACAGACAACAGAGCUACUUCAAGAAACCCACGGUGACAGGGUCAUUGCACCGAAAAAAGUUCCGCCAUUUCAUUCGACAGACUACAAAAUUACUUCAAUAAACUCAUGGCGACAGGGUCAUCAAAUUG